UAUAGACCCUUUCAGUUAUUCGCUUUUACUAGUGUUAGAGUUGUGUCCCUUAGCCGGAUGUGACGUCAACGGGGGAUAGAAAUUCGCCAGAGAAAAUAAAAUUUUACUGUGUCGCUGAAGAAAUCAACGUCUUUAGCACAAUAUAUGCGAAUCAUCCCAAAUGCUAUGUUCAGAAACAGUGAAGUACCAUGGCUGAACCAGAUCCUGUAACAGAAAAGAAAGUACAACAGUACACGACUGUGAUUGUCAUAAGCUGUAUGCCAAGGAUGUCCCUGGCGCUGUUUUACCGCAACUUCAACCAGAAAGAUGCAAAGUUACAGAGUUGCGAAUAUGGUUGAAAUGCCGGGGACAAGCUGUGAAAUCGAAUGAGACAAAAGCCGAACUUUGCUUGA